rnacentral:rRNA from 1 species
CAUUGAAACACUUGUUCUCAUACAAUCACCAAAGUUAAGCAACAUCGAGCCUAGUCAGUACCUAGAUGGGUGACCACAUAGGAAGACCAUGUACUGUAAG